rnacentral:lncRNA from 1 species
UUGGAGAAGGGGAUAGCCUGGUGUGAAUCUUCACUAUAAAUGAUUGGGAAUAAGCCUUAGAACAGCGUAAUUAAAACACAAUUCACUUGCACGCAUGCACUCCUGCUAAAAUUUUAGUGAAUUUGCUUAAUAUUUUGGUGUUUCAGAGAAAGUGAAUAAAGUUGAUCAUCAAUCAAAAUUAAUAUGAUGAAGACCGGUGCGACGUUUCUGUUGGGGGCGAUGUUCGGGGCCUUUUUAACUCGAGGAUUUGGUCGUUGCCAUCAUAUUAAAGAAAUCAGCGAAGGCAACUGGCGCUGUCCUCGCAGAUCAGCGACUGAAAAGAAAUCUGGUGAGGCAAACCUAGGGCCGGAAGUGGAGAAGCAAACAACAGCAACGCCUGUCAGUGUCAGCUUGUGAAAGAAGAAUGCCUAAUCUAGCUUUGUAUCGUAUGUCAGAAAAGAGUUAUGUACGGUUGUGCUCGAUGUUUGUUUUAACUGUUUCAGUUUUGCUUAAUGUCUUGCGAGUCCUUUUUACCUUAUCGCCGUAUUUAUAAAUUCCUUGUCCGAAAAUUAUGAAUGAAUAUUAAAACCACAUUGUUGUCUUCGUAGGGAAUUUAUGAGUCGUUUAUUUUAUUUAUAAAACGAAAUAACAGAUGAAAUUUCUUCCCACAGCGGUAAAGAAGCUACCAGUAGAAGUACAUGACUCUUAUCUGAAAUUAUGUUAACCGUUUGGAAUACUUCCAGAGCAAUUAUGUUAAAAGAAGCUAUGUACGUCAUCAGCUUAGUUCAAGCUGCUAAAAAUAGAAAAUUAUAAUCGAACCAACGCAUUACUCGUGUAACAUUAUUCAUGCAAAAGCCUUAAAAUACUCUUCUGGUCUGAAUUGACCAUUUGUAUGUAUUGGAGAGUCACAUUGUUCAUGGAAAAAGCUUGAAAACUGAAAUUUGUAUCAUUGAUUGGUGAUUGAAAACAUUGUUUAAUAAGCUGAGAAAAGAGGGUAUUACCUUUCUUUCAGAAUUUAAAAAUUGCAGUAAUCUCACUUGGUGGAGUCAGCAUUCAAUCGAGUUCAAGACUAGGAAUGGAUAAUGUUCUUUUCUUUUAUCAAUUGAUGUCUUCACUUUUCAAGUUGAUUAUCUGAGAAUGAAACAAAGAUAACGACACUCGACAUUUUCAUGUUUGAAUCUGAGGCAACUUUAGCUUUUCCCAACCGCUUAAAUUCUUGGGCUUUUUUUUUUUUUUUUUGUGAGCAAGGAUUAUUCAACUAUAUAAAUGAAACCCUCACUGUAUGAUAUAAUGUUGGGAUAUAUUAAGAAGUACAUAUCCAUGUCUUUCCACCAUCUAACACUGCUAAAUUCAACUGAUUAGUAUUAAACACCUUUCUUCUCUGCUGAAACCUGUUUCGUAUUCAAAUACAUGAAACAGACUAAAUCAAACUGAUAAAGUUUUAGCGACGAAUGGUUGGUUCAAGGGCCAAAAAUAGUGUGUUCUUCGCUUUACUACUUGGGUUCGAAUCUGCUUAAAGGCUUUAGGAAGAUAAUUUUUCAUAAAUUUGUUAAACAUACUUAGACCUAUCCGAAAAGUGAAUAUACUAAGAAAAUCCUAAAAAUCAUUUGCUUUAAAAAAAUUGAUAUCAGUUUUUAUAUGAGGAAAAUAACGAUAUACAAUAUGCUAGGGUUAUAACAGACAUCUUUGAAUGUCUGUACCUUUGAGAUCCAAUAUAAAUACUGAUAAUUAGUCAACUAAACCACUCUUAAGUUAGCUUCAUAAAUUAUUCUCCUUAUCUGCCAUUUUCUCUCAAAUAACUACUCUGGUUUACUUAAAACAUGAUAAUUUUGACAUUAUUGCCAAAGCUAUAAGGUGUAGAUAGUUUUACCGAAUAUCGACAUUAUUGCUGGCAAUUGCUUUGAUCAUCUAUUGGAGAAAUCAGGAAAGAAAACAAACCCGAAAUCCUAUUCCAAGCAGGAAUAGGAAAUAUAAUACUGAACUACUGGGCGUUCUUUUAUGGAUGCAAAGGGAACGCUAGCCCAAUAGUUACUUGAAUUCUAAGAACGAAAUUCUGGGGAGCGCUUGGGCUCCACAUCUUAAAUAUACGAAACGCUCACAAAAGUGGCCCAAGUGAACCUGAUUAUUGUGUGCGAAAUCGAGAUUGAUACGGCUCAAAGUUUCAAGCUGAUACGAGUUAGAACAAUAGUGGGCCUGCCUAACAGAAACCUCUUUAGAGACAGUAGCCUAAAAUCUCUUUGGAUUCUUGAACUGAAGCCUGUAAGUAUUUGGGCUUUUAUAUUAAAAAGUGAGUCCAAAAACUGGAAGCUACCAUCAGAUGACCUUUCAAGGAAACGGACUCUUUAUUUGAAAACUAUGUCCUUGUUACUCAAGCAAAGAUAAAAUAUUGGGACUGGGGUUGAUCCUUGGGGAAGGGGAUAGCCUGGUGUGAACCGUCACUAUAAAUGAUUGGGAAUAAGCCUUUGAACAGCGUAAUUAAAACACAAUUCACUUGCAUGCAUGCACUUCUGCUAAAAUUUUCCUGAAUUUGCUUAUUCUUUUGGUGUUUCAGAGAAAGUGAAUAAAGUUGAUCAUCAAUCAAAAUUAGUAUGAUGAAGACUGGUGCCGCGUUUCUGUUGGGGGCGAUGUUCGGGGCCUUUUUAACUCGAGGAUUCAGUCGUUGCCAUCAUCUUAAAGAAGUCCACGGAGGCAACUGGCGCUGUCCUCCCAGAGCAGCAACUGAAAAGAAAUCUGGUGAGGCAAACCUAGGGCUGGAAGUGGAGAAGCAAACAACAGCAACGCCUGUCAGUGUCAGCUAGUGAAAGAAGAACGUACAAUCUAUUUUGUAUAGUAUGUCAUAAAAGAGUUAUGUACGGUUGUGCUUGAUGUGUGUUUUAACUGUUUCAGUUUUACUUAAUGUCUUAGGAGUCCUUGUUACCUUUCUCUGUACUCUAUAAAUUCCUUGUCGGAAAAUCAUGAUUGAUCCAAUGAAUAUAAUUAGCACCACUUUGUUGUCUUUGUUGGGAAUUGAUGAUAAGUCAUCGUUUUAUUUAUAAAACGAAAUAACAGUGAUAUUUCCAGUAGAAGUACUAGGAAGUACAUAACUCUUAGCUAGCAAUCAUUGAUGAACUGUUUAUGGAACCAGAAAGUGGGG